rnacentral:rRNA from 1 species
UUCGUAGGCGGGAUAUUAAGUCAGUGGUGAAAUCCUACAGCUUAACUGUAGAACUGCCAUUGAUACUGAUAUUCUUGAAUUCACCUGAAGUAGGCGGAACAUGACAUGUAGCGGUGAAAUGCUUAGGUAUGUCAUAGAACACCGAUUGCGAAGGCAGCUUACUAAAGUGAUAUUGACGCUAAGGAACGAAAGCGUGGGGAGCGAACAGGAUUAGAUACCCUGGUAGUCC